GAUUGCCCUAGUAACGGCGAGUGAAGCGGCAACAGCUCAAAUUUGAAAUCUGGCUCUUUUAGAGUCCGAGUUGUAAUUUGCAGAGGGCGCUUUGGCUUUGGCAGCGGUCCAAGUUCCUUGGAACAGGACGUCACAGAGGGUGAGAAUCCCGUACGUGGUCGCUGGCUAUUGCCGUGUAAAGCCCCUUCGACGAGUCGAGUUGUUUGGGAAUGCAGCUCUAAAUGGGAGGUACAUUUCUUCUAAAGCUAAAUAUUGGCCAGAGACCGAUAGCGCACAAGUAGAGUGAUCGAAAGAUGAAAAGCACUUUGGAAAGAGAGUCAAACAGCACGUGAAAUUGUUGAAAGGGAAGCGCUUGCAGCCAGACUUGCUUACAGUUGCUCAUCCGGGUUUCUACCCGGUGCACUCUUCUGUAGGCAGGCCAGCAUCAGUUUGGGCGGUAGGAUAAAGGUCUCUGUCACGUACCUCCUUUCGGGGAGGCCUUAUAGGGGAGACGACAUACUACCAGCCUGGACUGAGGUCCGCGCAUCUGCUAGGAUGCUGGCGUAAUGGCUGUAAGCGGCCCGUCUUGAAACACGGACCAAGGAGUCUAACAUCUAUGCGAGUGUUUGGGUGUCAAGCCCGAGCGCGUAAUGAAAGUGAACGGAGGUGGGAACCCGCAAGGGUGCACCAUCGACCGAUCCUGAUGUCUUCGGAAGGAUUUGAGUAAGAGCAUGGCUGUUGGGACCCGAAAGAUGGUGAACUAUGCUUGAAUAGGGUGAAGCCAGAGGAAACUCUGGUGGAGGCUCGCAGCGGUUCUGACGUGCAAAUCGAUCGUCAAAUUUGGGCAUAGGGGCGAAAGACUAAUC
rnacentral:rRNA from 1 species